GAUGAACGCUAGCUACAGGCUUAACACAUGCAAGUCGAGGGGUAGCAGGGUAGCAAUACCGCUGACGACCGGCGCACGGGUGAGUAACACGUAUCCAACCUUCCCAUAACUCUGGGAUAGCCUUUCGAAAGAAAGAUUAAUACCGGAUGGUACUUUUCAAGGCAUCUUGAGAAAGUUAAAGAUUUAUUGGUUAUGGAUGGGGAUGCGUUCCAUUAGAUAGUUGGUGAGGUAACGGCUCACCAAGUCUUCGAUGGAUAGGGGUUCUGAGAGGAAGGUCCCCCACAUUGGUACUGAGACACGGACCAAACUCCUACGGGAGGCAGCAGUGAGGAAUAUUGGUCAAUGGGCGAGAGCCUGAACCAGCCAAGUAGCGUGAAGGAUGAAGGUCCUAUGGAUUGUAAACUUCUUUUAUAGUAGAAUAAAGUGAUCCACGUGUGGAUUUUUGUAUGUAUACUAUGAAUAAGGAUCGGCUAACUCCGUG
rnacentral:rRNA from 1 species